rnacentral:rRNA from 1 species
UCCCCGGGCUCANCCUGGGAACUGCGUUCUGAACUGGGUGACUAGAGUGUGUCAGAGGGAGGUAGAAUUCCACGUGUAGCAGUGAAAUGCGUAGAGAUGUGGAGGAAUACCGAUGGCGAAGGCAGCCUCCUGGGAUAACACUGACGUUCAUGCCNGAAAGCGUGGGUAGCAAACAGGAUUAGAUACCCUGGUAGUCCACGCCCUAAACGAUGUCGAUUAGCUGUUGGGCAGCAUGACUGCUUAGUAGCGAAGCUAACGCGUGAAAUCGACCGCCUGGGGAGUACGGUCGCAAGAUUAAAACUCAAAGGAAUUGACGGGGACCCGCACAAGCGGUGGAUGAUGUGGAUUAAUUCGAUGCAACGCGAAGAACCUUACCUGGUCUUGACAUGUACGGAACCCUCCAGAGACGGAGGGGUGCCUUCGGGAGCCGUAACACAGGUGCUGCAUGGCUGUCGUCAGCUCGUGUCGUGAGAUGUUGGGUUAAGUCCCGCAACGAGCGCAACCCUUGUCAUUAGUUGCCAUCAUUAAGUUGGGCACUCUAAUGAGACUGCCGGUGACAAGCCGGAGGAAGGUGGGGAUGACGUCAAGUCCUCAUGGCCCUUAUGACUAGGGCUUCACACGUCAUACAAUGGUCGGUACAGAGGGUAGCCAAGCCGCGAGGCGGAGCCAAUCUCACAAAACCGAUCGUAGUCCGGAUUGCACUCUGCAACUCGAGUGCAUGAAGUCGGAAUCGCUAGUAAUCGCAGGUCAGCAUACUGCGGUGAAUACGUUCCCGGGUCUUGUACAC